rnacentral:rRNA from 1 species
GUGGUCGAUUAUGGUUGUUGGUGAGGUAAUGGCUCACCAAGCCGAUAAUCGAUAGGGGCCGUGAGAGCGGGAGCCCCGAGAUGGGUACUGAGACAACGACCCAGGCCUUACGAGGCGCAGCAGGCGCGAAACCUCCGCAAUACACGAAAGUGUGACGGGGUUACCCAAAGUGUUCAAUUUUGAACUGUGGUAGGUGAGUAAUGUUCCCUACUAGAAAGGAGAGGGCAAGGCUGGUGCCAGCCGCCGCGGUAAAACCAGCUCUUCAAGUGGUCGGGAUAAUUAUUGGGCUUAAAGUGUCCGUAGCCGGUUUAGUAAGUUCCUGGUAGAAUCGGGUAGCUUAACUAUCUAUAUGCUAGGAAUACUACUAUACUAGAGGGCGGGAGAGGUCUGAGGUACUACAGGGGUAGGGGUGAAAUCUUAUAAUCCUUGUAGGACCACCAGUGGCGAAGGCGUCAGACUGGAACGCGCCUGACGGUGAGGGACGAAAGCCAGGGGAGCGAACCGGAUUAGAUACCCGGGUAGUCCUGGCCGUAAACGAUGCAUACUAGGUGAUGGCACGGCCAUGAGCCAUGUCAGUGCCGUAGGGAAACCGUUAAGUGUGCCGCCUGGGAAGUACGGUCGCAAGGCUAAAACUUAAAGGAAUUGGCGGGGGAGCACCACAAGGGGUGAAGCCUGCGGUUCAAUUGGACCCAACGCCGGAAAACUUACCAGGGGAGACAGCAGUAUGACGGUCAGGUUGACGACCUUACCUAACGAGCUGAGAGGAGGUGCAUGGCCGUCGCCAGUUCGUGCCGUGAGGUAUCCUGUUAAGUCAGGCAACGAACGAGAUCCGCACCUUUAUUUGCCACCAAGAAGUCACGACUUCGUUGGGAACACUAAAGGGACCGCCGUCGAUAAGACGGAUGAAGGAGCGGGCAAAGGCAGGUCAGUAUGCCCCGAAACCCCUGGGCUACACGCGGGCUGCAAUGGUAUGAACAAUGGGCUGUGACUCCGAAAGGAGAAACCAAUCCCGAAAUCAUAUCUCAGUUGGAAUUGUCGGCUGUAACCCGCCGACAUGAACGCGAAAUCCCUAGUAAUCGUGUGUCAUCAUCGCACGGUGAAUACGUCUCUGCUCCUUGCACACACCGCCCGUCGCUCCAUCCGAGUGUGCUAAAAAUGAGGUUUGGUCAAAUUGGUCAUAUCGAGUUUCUAGUACGCGAGGAGGGAGAAGUCGUAACAAGGUA